rnacentral:snRNA from 1 species
GGAUGUGAGGGUGAUCUGGCUGCGACACCUGUCACCCCACUGAUCUCCAGGUUGAUUGGGCUGAUCUGGUGGGUGUCCCCUUCCUCCCUCACCGCCCCAUGUGCGUCCCUCCUGAAGCUGCCCUCGGUCGAAGAGGAUGGCCUUCCCCGAAUAGAGCGGAUGGUUCCUCAGUCCAGGGUAAACGAGUAGCUGUGUUCCCCUGCUAGAACCUCCAAUCAAGCUCUCAAGGAACAGCUUAUGGCAAGAUGAUGAAUUCAGAAAGAUAGCUACUGGGAGU